rnacentral:tRNA from 1 species
ACCUGAGUGGCUCAGUCGGUUAAGCAUCUGACUUCAGCUCAGGUCAUGAUCUCACAGUUUGUGAAUUCAAGUCCCACUUCGGGUG